rnacentral:rRNA from 1 species
UACGUAGGGUGCUAGCGUUGUCCGGAAUCAUUGGGCGUAAAGCGCGCGUAGGCGGCCAGAUAAGUCCGUUGUUAAAGUCACAGGCUCAACCUGUGAAUGCCGCUGGAAACUGUCUGGCUAGAGUUCGGAAGGGGCGAGUGGAAUUCCUGGUGUAGCGGUGAAAUGCGCAGAUAUCAGGAGGAACACCAAAGGCGAAGGCAGCUCGCUGGAACGGUACUGACGCUGAGGCGCGAAAGCGUGGGGAGCGAACAGG